UACAGAGGCCUCAAGCGUUGUUCGGAUUCAUUGGGCGUAAAGGGUGCGUAGGUGGCGUGGUAAGUCGGGUGUGAAAUUUCGGAGCUUAACUCCGAAACUGCAUUCGAUACUGCUGUGCUUGAGGACUGGAGAGGAGACUGGAAUUUACGGUGUAGCAGUGAAAUGCGUAGAGAUCGUAAGGAAGACCAGUGGCGAAGGCGGGUCUCUGGACAGUUCCUGACACUGAGGCACGAAGGCCAGGGGAGCAAACGGG
rnacentral:rRNA from 1 species